GUAAAGGAACAGCAUUGCCAGCCACCAAUGCAACACUGAGGGAAUUCAUCUGGUUAAUGUAGGUGUCACACUCAGGCAGUUAUCCUGAAUGUCUCUAGACGUAGAAGUUACUAGUCCUGGCUUUUCAUCUGCUAUCCUGAACUGUGUAUGUCUAAGGGGGAGACUGUAUACAUUUCAAAAGUCAGGUUUCAACGUAAAAGUUGCAGCAUGCGGGAUCUAGUUCCCUGACCAGGGAUCGAGCCCAGGCCACCUGCAUUGGGAGUGCGGAGCCUUAACCACUGCACCACGAGGGAAAUCCCCAAAACCCCUCUAACUUGGCAGACUUUGCAAGUACAAGGCAGCUUCUGAAAUCUCUGUGAGCAAUUUCACCCCCUUCUGCUCCCUUCCACUAGAUUUCUUGGAGCUCCAGCCUACACUGAAGCUGUUCAGGAUUAAUUUCCAGCCGCUAUGAAAGCCAUGAACUCUGGGCUCUGUCUCCUGAAUUCAGUAUGACUGCUACCUUCCACUUAGGCUCUAUUCCCAGAAUUGGUAAGUACUGGAAAUUCCCCUUAGGAGAAAAGCUGGAUACAUAAUGGAGCUUGCCUAGCGUGUGUCCCUUUUUUUAAGGAUUAUAUUCUAUCCAGUUUUUGCACGCUUGGGUUGUUCUCCAUUGCUUUUGAAUAACUUCCCUCAAGUUUUGUAAGGGUUAUGUCAUCAGGAGGGUCCCUCUGACAUAAAACUAUUUUGUCAGGGUGGGUCUGGCACACUUUUGUUUGGAUUUAAGUGUACAUUGCCCUCAGAAGAGUAAGACAGGACUUUAAAACUUGACGUGAUA